rnacentral:rRNA from 1 species
GCCUACCAUGCAAGGUCGAACGGUAACAGGAAGCAGCUUGCUGCUUCGCUGACGAGUGGCGGACGGGUGAGUAAUGUCUGGGAAACUGCCCGAUGGAGGGGGAUAACUACUGGAAACGGUAGCUAAUACCGCAUAACGUCGCAAGACCAAAGAGGGGGACCUUCGGGCCUCUUGCCAUCGGAUGUGCCCAGAUGGGAUUAGCUNGUUGGUGAGGUAACGGCUCACCAAGGCGACGAUCCCUAGCUGGUCUGAGAGGAUGACCAGCCACACUGGAACUGAGACACGGUCCAGACUCCUACGGGAGGCAGCAGUGGGGAAUAUUGCACAAUGGGCGCAAGCCUGAUGCAGCCAUGCCGCGUGUAUGAAGAAGGCCUUCGGGUUGUAAAGUACUUUCAGCGGGGAGGAAGGUGUUGUGGUUAAUAACCGCAGCAAUUGACGUUACCCGCAGAAGAAGCACCGGCUAACUCCGUGCCAGCAGCCGCGGUAAUACGGAGGGUGCAAGCGUUAAUCGGAAUUACUGGGCGUAAAGCGCACGCAGGCGGUCUGUCAAGUCGGAUGUGAAAUCCCCGGGCUCAACCUGGGAACUGCAUUCGAAACUGGCAGGCUUGAGUCUCGUAGAGGGGGGUAGAAUUCCAGGUGU